rnacentral:lncRNA from 1 species
UGCUAAUAUGUGGUUGGAUGUGGGAAACCUUGUAUGCUCCCAAUGUAAAGAUACAUGUAGACAAUAGAUUAUGACUGUAAGGACUGAGAUUUUGACAGUGCAACUAAACUCUCUGUUGACGAUAUUUAUGUGUGUAAUUUAAUUACAUAAGUACUCGUCAAGUUUCGGGAGAAAAUGAGCUAGAAUGGAGAAGUUACGCGAUUAUUAGUUUUCACUUAAGUGAAUAGUAACUCCGGUUUUCCGAAGAAGCCACGGAGUAGAGUUGGCUUUCGGCGCGUAU